rnacentral:misc_RNA from 1 species
CGGCUCCCUCCGUUCCACCCACCAAGGGUGCAGAGUCAUUCUUUAGAACGAUACUUUCAAGUAUGGAAAAGGUCUAUUUGAGCCGGAACCCAACUGCCAAAGCAAUUCUUGACCUCGUCCAUUCAUGUGAUGGCAGUCAUGUUUGCUAUGAUCAUAUCGCCUUCCGAACAUUUGGGGUAGAUGGUUAUGGAAUUGAUGCUUUGGCAAAAGUUUUCUUGGAUUUUGGUUAUGUGACACGUGAAGAAUUGAAGUUUCCUGCUAAAAAGCUGAGGGCACUGUGGUUUGCCCCUCCCGAUGCUGACCAUUGUGACAGUGCAAGCCAUUUCAGUGGGCCUUUGCCAAGGAUAUUUAUAUCCGAGCUACUUGUGGAUGAACUGAG